AUGCUUAUGUGCAAUAUAAAAAUGGUACACUACACAAGACUGAAGAAUAAUACAAAUAGGCUGCGUGUUGACUGCCAGGGACAAGUGAAUAUAAAGUCAGUUCUUGUGUUUGAAGCAGUUCGUAUGAAUUUGAGUUGUUACACACAGUACAUGUUAAAUGGCUAUGAGACAGAUGGAGACUCUUGCUGUUAUCAAAAGGUAUCACUGAAGGCCCCCGUAUUCAGUCAGGCAGCUCGAAGCAGAUGUGUUCCACCAUCCAACCCCUUGUCACAGCAUGCAGUGGCCUGAUAGGGAGAUGACAAUUCAUUAUGUACCUUUCAUCACCAAAGCAGUGUUAGCAUUUACUGCACAUGUUGCUGAACAAUCCAACCAUUUUGUUACCAUCAUUGAUCUAAAUGGGAAAUUCACAUAUAUCAAAUUCAUAAGCAUUGACUAAUAAUUCUAGGGUCCUGUGGUGGUCUAGCAACAUGCUGCUUUCUAGUGACCUUAAUCCCUCUGCACCUGAAAUGCAACAAGAAAAACAUGAAUAACAUUACGCCUAGUCAGUCAGUAACUUGGGUAAUUAAACACUCAUUUAAAGUGUGCACAUCAGCCAAAUGAUACCCAACCAAUACAGCCUAGUAGUCCAUUUGCAGUGAAAUUGGGAGGAAUUUCUCUUGACAACUUUUUCAGUCACCCAUUAAUUAAUAAACAAGCAGUGGAAUGAGUCAGUUUGACAAAAAGUGUUCAAAAGUCUUAAAUAUAGCUAUAGUUAGUUUUCAUUUUCUAGAAACCUAGCUAACAAUAGCUGCACUGCAGUGAUGAUGGUGGAAGUUAGCUAGCUACCUUUCCCCCAGCUGUUUUAAUUUAGCUAGUUAAUGUCAUUUGUAUAAACUAUCAGAUUGUUAACUAGCAAAUAUUUGUUUUCCCCUCGUAUCUAAAACUGCCUGAUAAAACUUGCAAGUUGAUGGUAAAGCUAGGAUGAAUGUCCGAGGCCAUACACCUAAUGCAAUUGCUGGUCUGGAGUUCGUCUGAAAUGUACCAUUAUAUUUCAAAUGAUAAUCAAACUAUUGUCAUGCCUUUUCACCAAAAAAAAAAAAAAAAUCGAUGUAGACAGAUAAGAGACGAUUACCAUCAAGUAGAUCAUUUUGUUUUUCUUUACCUCAUCCUCUCUUGCUCAUGUGGUAGUAGCUACUUCCUGAUAUUUGAUUGAUGGAAAGAUCCAGCCAAUGGUUAGGCGGCUGUGGUUUUGGUAGAGGGAACUGAUUGGUCAGGAGUAAAAGGUCAUUUCUCCAGAGCGAAAAAUCAAGAUUUUACUUGCAAAUUUCUUCCUACAAAUUUACAAAACUUUCUACAACGUGACAACAAUGACAGAAC
rnacentral:lncRNA from 8 species